CCCUGGAGCUGGCCCUGUGAAUGACGGGGGAUCAAAACCAGGUCCUGUAGCUACUGGGGGGAGCUGAAGUGGAACACCAGUGAUUCAUAGGGUUUUCGGUCAGGCUUCUGAGCCCAAGCCUGCAUGUAUACAUCCAGAUGGCCUGAGACAACUGAAAAGUACAAAAGAAGUGAAAGAGCCAGCUCCUUUCUUAACUGAUGGACAAACCUUACAACAUUCCAUUAUGAUUUGCUCCUGCCCUGUCCCAAAUGAUUGAUCGAUGGACCUCGUGACAUUCUUCUUCUGGAAAAUGAGUCUUAUGAUCUCCCCACCAAGAACCUUGCGACGCCAACCCCUGCCCGCAAGAGAAAAACCCCCUUUAACUGUAACUUUCCACUGCUUAUCCCAGUCCCAUAAAAGUGCCGCAUCUCUAACUCCCUUCACUGACUCCUUUCUCAGACUCAGCCCACUUGCACCCAAAUGAAUAAACAGCUUUGUUGCUCACACA
rnacentral:lncRNA from 1 species